CCAAGCUCACAUAUAUAAACCCUUAGAAGCCAUUUCAACAUAUAAUCAUAGUGAAAGGGAGAGAGGGGGGCAGAUAGGAGAAGAACCCUAACUCCACAUAAACUUCAAUUUUCCAUAACUUUUGCUAUAGAGCUCCAAUUGACGAGCUGUUUGUGACCAUGCUUCUUCUCCGCAUCCUCUUCAUUUCUAAGGUACUCUAGCAUGAAUUCCAAGUGGGAUACAUUCCUAUUUCAUAUGGGUUAAGAUUGAAUAAGAGUGAUGGCUAGCUUGGGUUGAAUUGCUAUCGUGGAAUUGGAGCUUGGCUUGCUUUUGGAAACACUUGACGGAGGCUUGGUACUAUUGGUUGGAGUUUGAGUUAAUUGAAGAAGGGAAUUCAAGAGUUGGAAACCACCGUCAACGAGGUAGAGAUUUUCUAGAAAACCAAUUUUUUAUACAAGGAUUGUUAUGAAUCGAUAUUGAUAUGAAAAUUUUACUUUUGGUGAUUAUGUGAGUCUUAUAAAUUAGUAUGUAUGAUUGAUGAUGUGCUUGAAUGAUAAUUUAGUGUAAAUAUUGUAUUAAAUGAUGACUGAAACUGUAUGUUUGAUUAGUAAAUGAAUUUUGUAGUUUUGAUUACCUUGUGAUGAGCUAUAGAUUGAGUUGAAUGAUGUUGAUGUGAGAGUUUGGGCCUUAAGACCGUGAUAGAGUGAGGGAUCUCCUAUAUGGUAAGUUUGGAUAAGUUUGAUGGAGUAGAAUAAGUGAAUUUGGUGUGAUUUAUGAUUGUGAUGGUAAUAUUGAAUUUGGUAUUUAAUAUAUGAAUGGUGUUUGAUUUGGAUAAUUAUUGAGAUUGAUGAGUAAUGAAUGAAAGGGUGUUGAAGGGAUUGAAUAUGAUAGAGUGUUGGCAUUGAAAUGGAGAAAAAGGGUUUUUGGUUUCAAAAGGAAAGAUUUGAAGAAAUGGUUAAAUUUUGAAUAUGCAGAAUUUUAUGUAAAAACAUACUUUUGAUCAACUUCGACGGGCCAUAACUUGGCACUCGGAGUUCAGAAUCGAAUGAAAUUUGUCUUAGAUUAAAGUUAGUAAAAAGAUCUUUAAAAUGGUUCAAGAAUGAAGAAAAAUAAAAUUUUGUAGAGAAAGUUAUGACGGAUUGAAAAUUGAUAUUUUAAACUGAAGUCUGAAUGUUGCAGAAAAUUGAGGUCAUGCGUACGCAUGAGGGGUGUUACAGAAGCGAAAGAGUUUUGUGUGCAUGUUAUGCAUAUGCACAAAAGCAAGGUCAUGCGUAUGCAUGACCCAUGCGUACGUACAACUUGCAUUUCUGAAAUGAAUCUUUUCCGUGCGCGUUUUGCACGUACGCACAAAAAGGGAAUUUAUGCGUACGCACGAGGCAUGCGUACGCAUGAUUGCGCUAUUUUUUAAGAAAUGUUAUUUUCAACUGUUUUUGCAUAUUCAGUCUGCUUUUUUACCUCUGUAACCCCUGUUUAAGUUUCGAUAACUUGUUUUAGGCUUGAGAUUAAGCAUGAGCAUGAUUAGUAAAUGAAUUCGAUGAAGUUGAAUAGGAUUGUGGGUCAGAGUAUCGAAGAUAAUAAUGGGAUGACGAGAGCUUAUGAUUAAGAACUGACUGAAUAUGAAAUUGACUUAAGAAAUGAAUGACAAGACUGGUGAGGGCCUGAUUGGCUGAGUUGGUAAGGUUUGAGUGAUAUUUCGCUCGUGUAUUGAUUGAAUAUUUGUUUGUGACAAGAUUCGGGUGUUAUCCCGCUUGUGUGUUGAGUUAAUUUGCUUUGGCACCUGCAUUGGGCAAGGACAGAGGUCUCAUCCCGCUUGUUCUGUGGUUGCGCAUAGCUAUAAGGACGGUGGUGUUAUCCUACUCAUGAGAAAACAAAAUUGAUUUCUUAAUAAGGAGUUGGGGUUAGAGAACAUAAUAAUUUAUGAAAGUGAUUUAAGUAAAUGAUAAUGAUGAAAUAUGGUCUGAGUGACCGCAGUGGUGAGGACAAUGAGUAUGAUUAAUGUGGUAAGGACAGUGGUGAAUCCCGCUUGCACACUCACCUAAGUUAUACCAGGGCAAGGACGCUGGUUAAUCCCGCUUAUUCGUGAUUUUUUUUAGUAGGGAUGGUGCUUGAUCCUGCUUACUCGAGAUUAAUUGCAAUAGCAAGGACAGUGGUUAAUCCCACUUGCGCAUUGUAAUGUGAUUCGGACAAGGACGGUUGGUUAAUCUUGCUUGUUCGAGGUACCCGGUAAGGAUGGUUGGUUAAUCCCACUUAAUCGGGGUCUAAUGUGAUAGGCAAGGAUAGUGGUGUGAUCUCGCUUGCAUAUUGGAUUAUGUUUAGCAAGGACAAUGGUGUUAUCAAGCUUCCAGGUUGACUUGUAGUUGUAAUCCGAGCAAGGAUGGUGGUGUAAUCCCGCUUGUUCGUGGUUCUCUCUUCGUUUGUAUAAAGUGUGGCAGGCACUAUAUCCCAAGAGUGUGUCAGGCACUAUAUUCCAAGAGUGUGUCGGGUACUAUAUACCAAGAAUGUGUCAGGCACUAUAUUCAAAGAGUGUGGAAGUAAAACAGAGAGACAAUGCCUGGGUUAGCUACCGGAUGUGUCAGGUUCUGGUAAUGUAACCGACAUGUGAGCUCAUAGCCAAUAGGUCAGGCAUGCAUCAUUUGUAUUUGUGUGUAUUGAUUGGGUGUGCAUCUUGUAUUUGACUUGUCUUUUUUAUUAAUUGUAUCUAUGUGCUACUUAAUCUAAUUACUUUAUUUGUUCUCUUUAAUUGUGUAUUCCUUGUAUUGUUUUGUAUGUGUUUGAACAAUUGAGAGAUCCCUUAUGCUGGAAAUGGUGACGCUGAGGGAUGUUCUUGAUGUGAUGAUUGGAGGUUUGUGAAAAAUCGAGUUUUGAUAUUGUUUUGGGCCAGAGGCCGAGUUUUGAUAUGUUUUAGGCCGGAGGCCGAGUUUUGAUAUGUUUUAGGCCGGAGGCCAAGUUUUGAUUAUUUUGGGCCGGAGGCCGUGACUGGUUGGGUCGGAGCCCGUGACUUGGUAAGUUAGUAAAGAUUAAUACGUGCUUUGACUUGUGGUGGUUUAUAUUUUGAUUAUUUUUGUUUAGGCCAGAAGCUGUGAUUGGUUAGGUGAUGGGCCGGAGAUCGUGAGUGAAUUAUGUUUAAGGUAGGGAAAAGUAUGAAAGAUCAAACUGGUUCAGUAUAGACUUAAUGAACUUAUGUUUGGAACAAGUUGGCUAUUCAUACAAUUCAAGUAACUUUUAAAAUUUUAUAAAGGAAGCAUGAAUUUGGGUUCUGAGUAAGUAACUGUUGGUUUUGAAAAGAUUUAUAAGACGAACGAUAAUCACAUCAUUUGAAAUCUAUUCUUUGAUUUAUAUGUAUCCUCUUAUGACAAUUCUUAAACCCUCUAUUGAGAACCUGCGAAGAUGAUGUUCUCAACCCCUACAGACUUUUGUUAUCAGGAAGCAGAUGAGGAAGCUUACAACAUGAUUUCUACAUUUUAUGGUUGUAUUAUCAUAGAAGUUUUUUCCUUGCCUUAUUGUUGAGAUUUAUAUUUUUGUAAAGAGGGAUAGGAGUUGUGAUUCUUGUGAUUCUUGUGGAUGUAAUAGUAUUAUGAUAAUUUGUAUAUAUGUGUGUGCGAGAAAAAAAAAACGU